rnacentral:sRNA from 1 species
CAAUUGGAAUUUUAAAAGCCUAAGUAUUAUAUCCUUGUUAGAAGAUACAAAGACAAACACUCAUACGGACUUUGGCUACACCAUCAAAGCUUUGAGAAGCAAGAAGAAGCUUGGUUAGUGUUUUGGAGUCGAAUAUGACUUGAUGUGAUGUGUAUGAUUGAGUAUAAGAAAUUAAACCGCAACCGGAUCUUAAAAGCCUAAGUAUUGUUUCCUUGUUAGAAGAAACAAAGGCAAAGCCUCAUACAAACUUUAGCUUUACCAUCAAAGCCUUGAGAAGAAAGAAGAAGCUUGGUUAGUGUUUUGGAGUCAAAUAUUACUAGAUGUCAUGUGUAUGAGUGAGUAUGACAACUAGAACCAUAACCGCA